rnacentral:rRNA from 1 species
UACAGAGGGUGCGAGCGUUAAUCGGAAUUACUGGGCGUAAAGCGUGCGUAGACGGUUAUUUAAGUCGGGUGUGAAAGCCCCCGGGCUCAACCUGGGAAUUGCAUUCGAGACUGAAUAGCUAGGGUACGGUAGAGGGAAGCGGAAUUUCCGGUGUAGCGGUGAAAUGCGUAGAUAUCGGAAGGAACAUCAGUGGCGAAAGCGGCUUCCUGGACCAGUACCGACGUCAGGCACGAAAGCGUGGGGAGCAAACAGGA